AUUACAGUAUUCGCAUUGUUUUUGUAAUUUAAAGUUUUAAUGGUUGAGAUGGGCAUGCGUGACAUUAGUUUGUUGGUGAGGUAAUGGCUCACCAAGACUACGAUGUCUAGGGGUUCUGAGAGGAUGAUCCCCCACACUGGUACUGAGACACGGACCAGACUCCUACGGGAGGCAGCAGUGAGGAAUAUUGGACAAUGGAGGCAACUCUGAUCCAGCCAUCCCGCGUGCAGGAAGACGGCCCUAUGGGUUGUAAACUGCUUUUAUACAGGAAUAAACCCCUCUACGUGUAGAGGGCUGAAGGUACUGUAAGAAUAAGCACCGGCUAACUCCGUG
rnacentral:rRNA from 1 species